GGAGAACAGGUUUGUACUGGUACAGAAUCCAGGAAUACUGGUUAGGUUAACUGCCCGCCGUUACGUGACUGAAAUACUGUUGAAAAACGGCGUUAAACCCAAAACAAACAAACAAAGAUCUACUAUCAGACUAGAAGGUCCUUGUGAAUAGCUUACACAUACGAAAAUACACGACUAUAGAUUAUACAAAAGUACAUUACUUCAAAAUAUACUUCAGAAAAAAACAUUCAUGUUCCGAAGCCGUGUUGAAUAUUCGUUUCUAGCACUAGUAUUUAAAGGCAAAAUUCUUACACACGUGCAUUCAAAAGUAGAUAUCAACAGUGAAAAUACGUAACUCUGUGCUCAAAAUACCAGUCUAAGGGCUUUAACUGAAAAAUCAGCUUAUCAUGAAUAUCUAUUAGAUCUAGUAUGUAAAGAUUGAAAUUAUGCUCGGAUACAAAUUAAAAUCAUUUAAAACAAGUACUAAAAUACUGAAAAAAAAGCAGUUUAACUUGCAUCUUUACCUCCUGUACCAUACAGCAGGUGUUAAUAUAUCGUUUCAAAAGGUUUAAAAUGUGGGUGUCUCAUUUACGUGUAUACCUUUCCUUUUUCCUUCUAAUUUCAUCGCAUAUUAAAGAUAAUACUUGAAAGUGAGAUAUACCAUUAACAAUUUCAGAAACGUUCGGUAAACUAUAGCCCAUAUACAGUCCAAGCGUUACCGCUAGCAAAAUAAAAAAAAACAACAACAACAAAGCGGCAACAUUUGUAUCAAUAAAUAAGUGUCAAAAAAGCAUUUUCUUUACAUUUUAUCUCAUAACUUCUGUAACCUAAAGUUUGUAAUGUCUGUUUGAAAUUGGUAUACACUGCAGCUACUGCAGUAUCUGAGAAUCAUUACAGGUUAUGAAACGUUGAUCACGUGUUAAGGGAGGUUAUUUUCCGAUACAAGACCGAAUCUGAACCGUGCAUUUUUCCUUUCAUAGUUUUCAUUCAUAACCGUGUGUUUCAUUUUUUUUUUAAUCUUAGAUGGUUUAUAUGUUUUAUGUUAUUCAGUGUUGUUUUAUUUUCUGAUCCUUUGGGAUCAUGGGGUCCGCUCAAUAUGUACUAGAAUUCCGCUUAAGCCGGUGCCAGGGGGCGUGAGGGGUGUUGUACUUUAAAUUACAUCUCAUGAACACAUCAUUAAACCGAGUUCACUAUAAUUUUGCUUGGUUGCAUUCCAUGCUUUCAAACGGUCUUCAUAUUGAUUUUAUUAUACAAUUAAGGAGUGAGUAUCUGAAUGCAAAGAAAAUCUGUUGCCGGUGUCUGAAAUAGCUUAUACGCCGCUUUAUAGUUCUCUUCAAUUUCCCCCUGAAUGAGAAGGAUUUGUGUGUGGGCUAUAGAAUAUAUAAUCUUUUUGAGUAUAUCACCUUAUGCUGCCAGUUUUACAAAUGUCAACAGCUGAAGCUUAUGUAAUAUGCGGAGACUGCAUUAUACAAAACAUUAUCCUGUAUUAAAGUUAGCUUGUAUCUAAUUCUAUCAUCCAUAUAUACUUACAAUUACCUUGCGCUGUGCUGUGAUAUUAGAAUACAUUUCUACUUAAAGUUCAUCUUGACAUUCUAUUUCUAGUUGGAGCAAACAAUUAAACAACUAUUUACCAUCGUUUAGAUGAGACAAAAAGGAAGUAUUAGAAUAAUUUAUACAUAGAAAAUGAACAACUUGCGAUCACUUCAGUCAUAGUGAUAUUCCAUUUCACAAAAUGCCUAUAUACAUAUCAAGUUAUCUUAUAUUUAUUUAAAUAAUUUACAAAGUUUUUCAUUACAUUGGUUCUACCAUUAAUAGCAAACAAUCGACUUUUUGCACCAAACCGUAUCUUAAAUUUCUUAAAACUGCUGACUCGGUAACUGAAAUCGUUCACGAACAUAAUUUUGCUUCUGUGGGAUAUAAAUAUUUUCAUACAGUGUGCUAUGAUGUUAUGUCCGAAAUCACCUAGUGUUACGAGUUCCAAGCAUAUCAAUUUGCAUGAUGUUAAAACUAUACGUAGGGGCAGCCGGCAAAAGGCGCCAGAAAGAGUCACGGCACCAAGACAAAUCCAGGUUCGUCAUGUUAAUGAAAGUUUACAGGUUUAUUGAGCAACUGGUUACACAGCUGUCUCUGUAUACAACAUUAUGCACGGAAAUGAUUCAGCCCAAUAACAAGUUAAGCUAUUGACACUAACAACUGUUCGUCGUAAAGCGACUUGAACGCACUCAACGUAAUAUUGCAUCAUCCUUCCGAAAUCUAUAAACCCAAUAGAUCCACUCGUUUCAUAAAAUCGGAAAUAGCUAUACAAUAUAAUUUUAUUACAUUCAUAGAAAUCUACUAUCCUUGAAUUACUUCCAAAAUAGCCGUCUUUGUUAUGAAAUUUUAGAUGAAAGCCGCAAUAUUGGAAUGAGUUAUAAUACAGUUAUAAUAAAGAUCUCCGCAGGUACUACCAGUAUCGAUGAUGAAUGAAACAUUAAUUCGUAAAGCAUAUAUGACUGACUGACAGGUAGUCCAAUGAAAAUAUGAGCCUAGUUAUAUUUCAUAAUCGCGUCGAUAUUGAGGCGGAGACACAGUUUAAAAACAUAAUACGAGUAGGCUUGAAUGCCCCUCCUACCAGUGUAUGUAAACGCUUAUAUCAGCGUCGAGUUAUCAGUCUGUAUCGAGAAAACCUAACUAAAGCAUUACUUUAUAUUUUACUACGCUACCGUACGCAGUCAAACACUACAAGUGUGCCUAUUGAAAAUAAAGUGUUUUAAAAAUAAAGAUAACAGUAUUGUUAAAGGAGAACAAUUGAAAUGGAGGAGCUGGACUUAGUAGUACAUAGAGAUUGUAGAAAAGGCUCUAACAAUGCACGUGAAAUUAGAAAAAGAUAAAAGCAACGACAGUUCAUCUUCAGAUAUUAGAAACUCUAAAUACUCACCAUGUUAUAGAACUACUGUGAGAUUAAGUGUUAUGAUUACGGCAUUUAAUUGUGAUACUCAGUUUGUGUUCUGAAACUUCAGCAAUGCCAAGCGCAUUUCUAUGUCAAAUGCGAUGUCUAAAUGGAGGAAAAAUGCACGUACCAGAUGGACCAUUUGCUUACUGUAUGUGCAAAUGCCCGCGCGGGUUUGUUGGUUUAAGAUGCGAAUUCAACAAAAUGUUCGCACCAAGACGAAUUCGACGAGUUAAUAGACUAAAAAGACUAGUAAAACUUAGAAAUGAAGUUAGAAAUGAAGUUGAAGGAUUGUUAACUGAUAAAAGAAGAAGACAUCGACAUUUUAAGAGAUGACCGAAGCCGAGAAAAUCAGUUUAAGAAAUGAAUUUAAGACGGGUUUAGCUGAAAGAACUACCGGCCACUCAAUUCCGAAUCUUCGACACACAACUCAUCCCCCCAUGGAAAUAUUGUGAAAUCCACAGACAGGGCGAUAUCUUAGUGAUAUGUUUUCGUCUUUCCAUUGAUGGCAGAACAAUUUUUCAAACAAGUAGUCUUUACAAUAACGAAAGCUGAAAGGAUUAAAACAGGUCGAUAGCCGAUAUAAAAGAGAGUUACUAUGGUACUUUCCGGUAAUUAUUAGGACAAUGCGCUUCUCUCCAACCUAAAAAUGCAAAAAGGAUUGAUUCGCAGCAUGUCGAUAGUUUCGUGUCCCAAAGGACUGACUUUGUAACAAAGUCUUUAGCGAGUGUUAAUUGUGUAUCGAACAGCUAGGGAGAUAUUUUUCUUCGUCACAGAAGACAGGCGUAUAGAAAUAAUUAAAUCGCUGGAGACUUAUUUGUUACAAGAAUCAAGUGGCGAUGGCUUCUUUCAAUGAAAUAGAUGUUUGUCUCAAAAUAUAUGGUUAUCUGAUUUUGUCGUAAAUGGGUCUCUUUUUACGUAGAGUUUCUGUACUUUUGUUGUAGCAUUUUUUGCAAAUGUCAAAGGGUCAAUCAAGGCCCUGUCUUGGAAAAGUUAAAUGAGUGAUCAUCAUGACUAUUUGAUCUUUUAUAACUAGGCGAUUAUUUUUUAAAUACAUGGCAGAUGAUAGACCUUUUGACAUGUGCAGUUGUAUUACUACGGUGCUUUCAUUCCGAAUGGAAGAUUCUUAUUUAUUUUAUUUAUUUAUUUAAAUUAUUUCGCCAUAUUGUCUUCAUUAUUUUGUGUUCAUUUUGUUUGAAGCAGUGAUCAGCUGAGUAACUAUUUCAUGUGUACUGUCAUUCAAAAUAGAUAUAUAUUUUCAGCUGUCUAUACAUGUGUUUAACAACAAAAUGUUUUUAAAAAUUAAGCAUCGUCUACACCCACUUAUUUUGUGAUAAGUGAAAAAUAGUAAAUUUCUGUAAUUUGAACUGAAACCUGUUACAUUUCCUUUUGUGAUUUUGAUCUUAUUUUAAGGAAAUUUGUUGAUAAAAUCUUUGACAGUCUUUGUGUAAACACUUGUAACAUGCAACAAAGUUAAUUCCUAUGAAAUUGUUGAUAUUCUUUCACAAUUUUAUUAGCCUUUCAUUUGUAUUUACGUCGCGCCAGUCAGUUUCAUUUUUCUCAUCUAUCGUCAAACUGUUAUAAAUAUAUUCAAACUGUUACAUGUUAAUAAAAUCAAAGAAACCCUUGAUUUGAUAAAGUAUCUUUAAAGUAAGACGAGAAUUCAAAACUACGACAAUAGCUAUAAAAUGCAUCGUAUUAUUUCAAUAAUAUAACGUGCCAUUUUGUGUCCGAAAAAAAACCCAUUCAAAACAAAAUGUAAACAUUUGGUGUUCAGUAUUUGCUUUCCUAGACAUUGGCGAUCAAUUCAUUGACAAAUUCAUUUUUUGCGUAUUGUAGCAGUUUUUUCUGCCACCAUGUUUACUGACUGGCCGAUGGAUGUAGAUGACGUAGAUAUUAUUUUUAUAUCUAUUUUUAGUACAAUAUAGUUUUAGUAGUUAUUUUUAGAUUUUAAUUGAAUGAAUCUCAAGAGUGCCAUACAACCACAUUAGAUAUACAUCCUUUGAGGCAGUGUUUUACACCAUUAACUAGCAUUUCUGUCACGACUACCGGUAAACGAGUCUAUACAAUUAAACCUGGCGUAAAGUUUAAAUAUUUAAACAUGGUUUGGAUUAAGCAAAUAAUCCACCGGCUUUUAGUUUAUUUUUGUUACUUCGUGAUAAGCUGAUAUUGUAAAACUCAUCAGAAAACAUUUAAAUUAAUUUGCAUAAUUAGUCCCAGUCACGUCACACAGAAAAACGAUCAUAUUGAAACUGAGCAAACUUUUGCAUGUUACACGAUACUGUUUUAAUAGAUCUUAUUUCUUCACAGAAUAUUUAUUUUUUUCUUUAAUCACCCUCAUCCCUAUUUAUUCCAUUGGUCAUUUUCAUCAUUUUUUCUCAUUAUUUAAUUUUUUUCCGGUGCAAAAAUCAUUCCAUUAUUUUCUCCCAUUACAUUCCAAAUACGGAAAUUAGCAAUUUGGUCAACACGAAUUGCGCAGAUCCAACGUUGAUCGCACGUUUGCUUUCAUUAUUUCAAAAUUGCAUCGUUACGUUAUAUUUCCAUUUUUAACUAUCAUUUUUUUUUCAUCAUAAUUUUGAACUAUUUUUGAAAAGUACUCAAUGAUAUUUCGCAAUCCAAUUUUGUUUGGUGACUUAAGAUUCUGCUGGAGAUUUUCAAAUACAAUGUACCACGAGAUGCUAAAGCAGCUUUUCUUGCCUGGUCUUGUUUUUUGUUGUAUAUAUAUACAUUGUUUUUUGUUCAAAUUGUGAUAACCAUGACAGAGGAUAAACACUAUUUUAAAAAACAGAAAGAAAACAAUAAAAUAUUGAUUAUUUAA
rnacentral:lncRNA from 1 species